rnacentral:rRNA from 1 species
AAUAUUGGACAAUGGGGGCAACCCUGAUCCAGCCAUGCCGCGUGUGUGAAGAAGGUCUUCGGAUUGUAAAGCACUUUAUGUUGGGAGGAAGAGCAGUAAGUUAAUACCUUUCUGUUUUGACGGUACCGACAGAAUAAGCACCGGCUAACUUCGUGCCAGCAGCCGCGGUAAUACGAAGGGUGCAAGAGUUAAUCGGAAUUACUGGUCGUAAAGCCGGCGUAGGUGGUGUGUUAAGUUGGAAGUGAAAACCCCGGGCUCAACCUGGGAACUGCUUUAAAAACUGGCAAGCUAGAGGAUGGCAGAGGAUGGUGGAAUUUCCUGUGUAGCGGUGAAAUGCGUAGAUAUAGGAAGGAACACCAGUGGCGAAGGCGACUACCUGGACUGAUACUGACACUGAGGUGCGAAAGCGUGGGGAGCAAAC